GGAAGGAAUAUCGCAACCGGACCGAUUACUGUCAAACCAUUAGUUGUCAGUUUGAAUCUAUCCGGUUUCCCUUCGAAAUCUGUUGGAUUUUCCUGACAAUUUCUCCGCUGCCAUACAAUGACAGAUAUCGAAAUCGAUCAGUUUGAUUCGGUUCGGAUUUGCGUCGAGUUCUGUCAGUUUUGCUUGAAGGGCCUGUCAUUCGAAAACGAUCGAUUUUGUUUUUGCAUCGCAGCAACGGUUUUCGCAAUAUUUUUUCUGUCGUCGGUUCGAUUGCGAGUACCUACGCCAUAUAGAAAGAUUCUACCGCGAAACAACGAACGCAAAGGGCAGCCCGGUAAAUCCAGUCGGGAACAGCAGACCGGAUGUGUUCAACAGAUACCAGCGGUUCCAGGGACUUAACCCUGGAACGCUUCGUAAGAUUAGUAUUGUCAGUGACGAUGGUAAUAAUCCGGUGGUUUGAUCACCAAGGCCCGCCAAGCACCAUUCCUGCAACAUUUGUUACAUUAGAAUUCUAAUCAAAUCUAAUUGCUACCGUUUGACGAAGUUCCGACAACAACAGUACCUGGGCGUCUAUCUCAAUGUUAGCAAAGCCGGGGAAUCCCUGCUGCAUUAUUCGAAGCGGGAACGGGAAACCUAACAGACCUAAAAGAAUGCCGUUGCGUUGGACCCCCAUAGAAAAUUCGUACCCGAAAAGAAAGAGGCUCCUUAGAAACUUCAGCGAUUCCAAAAGAAGAGGCAUCAUCGAGCUCCGAAUCCAGUUCGGAGAAUGAAGAUGAAGCUUCUGCCCCGGUGAGGAAACCGUCGAUAGAUCCGAACAGACGUCAACAGUUGGUACGCGAAUUGAACCAGGAAACCUACAUCGAUCAUGGGAAACUUAGAAUCGUUACUAUCAGGUGGCAGUGAUCAACGAUCAGAGUAAAAUCCGCCGAAAGGUUCCUACCAGCCGUCAUCCGAGCUCCGAAGGGCAGUCAGCGGAAGCAAAGUUUGAGCAAGAAAACGGAUUCUUACGAACAGCAGAAGUUGACAACCUGUUGACAAAGCUGCACUAACCCUAAAUAUGACCGGGAAAUGAAAUACGAUUGUUUUCGAUGAUGGUGAAGAAGGGAUGGUCAAAAACCUAAACGAAUCAACAACAACAACAACGUCAACAAAACUCCAACAAUCCCACACUGCUGAAAAAGAUCCUUCGCAUACCGAUACACAAAUUGCAGCGAACCUCAAUAGAUUCUACCUUCGGAGAUUUCAAGGAUAGUGCCACAACAACGGGAACGGCAUCAUAUAUGUUCGAUGAGAAUGAAUACUUGGUCCAGGAAAAAAUGAAACGAUUACUUGUCGAAGUUUGCAAACAAAAACCGUAAUCGCUCAAACAAGUCAGUCUUUGAACCUGUGCGCAACCACCAUAUAUUUUUACGGAUCACACACAGACGUCAAACGAUCUUAGACGAAGUGAGCAGCUCGAGCUACCCGAACGCUUC